AAGAAAGCAUGUACAAUAUUGUUUCCUAAAGUAGUAAAAACUAGACCCAUGAGAUACAUUGAGUGCAACAAGGCAUUUGUUUGAAUGAAUUAAACUUGGACAUUGCAUAUUACAGUUUCCAUUCAGCCUGAGAACUAACUAGCUAGUGUUUACUUGACCUUCCACUCCCACUGUAAUUGGUGGCUGGAAAAACAGUUGUGCCAUUCACAGAUAUUCUGUGUAUUUCUGUUGUGCUUGUACCUGCUGUGGGCUGUUUGCAUGUGUCUGUGUCUAUAUGCAACUCCAAAUUUCAUUCACAGGCAGUUGGCAGAAGGCAGCUUACCACAUCUCUUUAGCCCCAAAUGCUGAAGCUCAAGGCAACACAAGUAGCAGUGAAGGGCUGCUGUGUGAACCCACAGUGGUGGGAUGAGCACUCACUGCAUGCGUUUCAGCAGAGAGAAAUGGGCAGGUGUUUGAUUAAGCACAUUUCAUCUGUGUGGUUAAUCAGGUGGUGGAAGUGUUUGGGAGGUGCUGAAGAUGACCUCCAGGGAGAAGAGUUGGCACUGAGCAGAAGUGCAACAAGCAGGGCUUACAGAGUAAAUAUUAUUUCAAUGGGGACACUUCUGUCUUUGUGUGGUUGGUAUGGUUGGGUAAUUGUGAAAAGAGGAACUUCUGUUGCCCCUCACCACCCACACACUUCCUCAUCAGCUUCAAACUUGAUAACGCAGUCUGUAAAACACCGCUGUCUUUUCUGCCCCUUGCUGAUGACAGCAAGUACCGCACAUCCAAGAGGACAGGCUUUGCUCCUGGUGUUGUUUUACCAAAACCCCUCUUCCCCACUGCUAUGUGGCAAUGACCUUCUUUGUGUUGGAGACCUGGUGCUUGUCCUAUGUGAGGAAGGUAGAUACGUAAAUAAAUCCUUACUGUUCAUUGGAAAAAUACUCUAGAUGCUGGGCAGCUGAGGUCCCUCUGUGCACUCACAGGUGUGGGGAAAGGAAAGGGCUUCCUGAUAUGUGAGGGAGCAGGUGCUGGCAGGAGAUAUCAUCUGAAAACCACUUUGAGGAGAAAGGACUUCUACUACCACCAUCCAUACCUUUGGUAGGCAUGUGCCCUGUAUAUUUCCCACCUCACAGGCUUCUUCCAGCACAUCCCACCAAGUUGGGGGAAGACCUAGUGGUGAGUGUGGUGUCUCUGAGUGUGGUAAAUGGAUGGAAAAGGGCGUUCUGGAAUUAGAAAGGUGAAAAGCAAACAAAAAGUCCUAUCAGCUACACUGCAGUUAACAGAAAGUACACACAACCCUGGGCGCAGUUCAGACUUCCCUGUCUAGACAGUGCCCCUUGGCUUUGUUGCUCACCCACACGUUUUGCAGAUGAACAAGUCUGAGACAAGGCUGCUCCUCCUGUGGGGGCAAAAUAAUUGCUGUGGAGUUUUACUUUGAUUUGUCUGAGCUAGUUUGGCACUUCACAGGCAGGCCUUGGGCAAGGACAAGGAGGCUCUAGUGGCGUCUUCACCGCAUCCUG
rnacentral:lncRNA from 1 species